GACGAACGCUGGCGGCGUGCUUAAUACAUGCAAGUCGAACGGAAAGGUCCUGCUUUUGUGGGGUUCUCGAGUGGCGAACGGGUGAGUAACACGUGAGUAACCUGCCCUUAACUUUGGGAUAACUUUAGGAAACUCGGGCUAAUACCGGAUAGGAGCUCCUGCUGCAUGGUGUUGGUUGGAGAGUUUCGGCGGUUGGGGAUGGACUCGCGGCUUAUCAGCUUGUUGGUGGGGUAGUGGCUUACCAAGGCUUUGACGGGUAGCCGGCCUGAGAGCGUGACCGGGGACAUUGGGACUGCGAUAGGGCGCAGACGCCUACGGGAGGCAGCAGUGGGGAGUAUUGCGCAAUGGGGGGAAGCCUGUGGCAGCGACGCCGCGUGCGGGAUGCCGGCCUUCGGGUUAUAAACCGCUUUCGCCGGUGACGAAGAGUGAGUGACGGUAAUGGGUAAAAAAGCACCGGCUAACUACGUG
rnacentral:rRNA from 1 species